AUGUCGACGAAACAGAAUGUGUUUCGUCGACUUUGUGUGUUUCGCCGAGGGUUAUUUGUGUUUCGUCAAUUGGACGAGAUAAGAGAGCUGUGUGAGACUUAGAGAGAGUCAUAUAAACAUUGUUUGUAUAUGUUUGUAUCUGUUCUCAUCCCUAAUCAAUAGAUAUUGAAUCUUUUGGUUACGCGUGUUUUUAUUUUACACUUUGUUUGGUUUGCAUCGUCACGGGGAUUCCGCACCCGUUACCGUGUUCUUGAUAAACAAGGAUAGGUUUACGUUAUCGAUCCACCGGAAAAACGGGACCUACAAUUGGUAUCAGAGCUUUGGCUCUAAUCCUUGUUUAAAACCAAACAAGUUUGGGUUUUUAUCAAGGUUGAACCUGUUUGUUUAUGAUUUUCUAAAAAAGUGUUCUUGAAAGUUAAUAUUUUUUUUUGAAAUUUUUCCUAAAAUCUGUUAAAUCUUGCUUGUUUUGCUAAAGAGUUUUAUUAAAAACCUUGUGUGUUGAUUGUUCACGUGUUAAACCGGGUUUUUAGUGAAAGUUUUAAGCGAAUUCGGGUUUCGUCGAUGACCGGAAAAUUCAAAAAUUCUGGAUUUGUUCUUCAUAUCUUCAGUAACCUUCAAGGAGUUGUUCAAAUUUUCAACUUUUUGAUCCUUUGUGUUGUUACUGUGCAAUUUGUUGGAAAGUUAAAAAAAAAUUAUAUUUGAUUUGAAAGUUGGGCUAUGUGCUGUUCGGUUGGUAUGGUCUACAUUUGAAAUUGUGUCACAUGUGUACUGUGUGUCAGACCAUGUGGAGAUAAGAUUUUGAAAAGUCUCACCAAACAACCUUAUCUUUUUACUUAAAAAAAAAAAAACCAUUGACUUACGUCACACAACUUUCAUUCAUUCAUUCAUCAAUAUACAUUUGCCAUAAAGUCAAGCCCAACUUUCGAAAAGCAUUAAAAUCUUAUCCAUUCAAAACAAUUGUGUUUCAUCAAUAUACAUUUGCCAUAAAGUCAAGCAGGGAUUUAUUUUGAAUAGGCCCACUUGAUUAUUAAAGAAUGUUUGCUGGACAUUUUUUUUAUUAGGCCUCAUGUAUGUGAUCAAGAGUUAGUGGGGUUUUGAAUCUUUGAGUUUGUUCAUCGCAGAUGAUGUCGGCUGGAAAUUCGAUGUUUGUCAGCUGAAAGAUGUUUUAGCGGGUGUUGAAUUCUUU
rnacentral:lncRNA from 1 species